rnacentral:lncRNA from 1 species
AAGAUGUUAGCAGACCCAUCUUAGAGUUCUUGUUUCUUUCUUAAGCCCUUUGCUCUGGAGGAAGUUCUCCAGCUUCAGCUCAACUCACAGCUUCUCCAAGCAUCACCCUGGGAGUGUCCUGAGAGUUUUCUCAUAAAUGAGGGCUGCACGUUGCCUGUUCUGCUUCAAAGUAUUUAAUACGGCUCAGUAUUUUAAAUGAAGUGAUUCUAACUUGUGAUUUCGUUUGGGAUCAAUAGGAAAGCAUAUGCAGCCAACCAAGAUGCAAAUGUUUUGAAAUGAUAUGACUAAAAUUUUAAGUAGGAAAGUCACCCAAACACUUCUGCUUUCACUUAAGUGUCUGGCCCGCAAUACUGUAGGAACAAGCAUGACCUUGUUACUGUGAGAUUUAAAAUAUCCACAGUAUUCACUUUUUCCAAAUGAUCCUAGUAAUUGCCUAGAAAUAUCUUUCUCUUACCUGUUAUUUAUCAAUUUUUCCCAAUAUUUUUAUACGGAAAAAAUUGUAUUGAGAACACUUAGUAUGCAGUUGAUAAGAGGAAUUUGGUAUAAUUAUGGUGGGUGAUUAUUUUUUAUACUGUAUGUGCCAAAGCUUUACUACUGUGGAAAGACAGCUGUUUUAAUAAAAGAUUUACAUUCCACAAAAGAAAAGAA